CCUACGGGAGGCAGCAGUGAGGAAUAUUGGUCAAUGGCCGGAAGGCUGAACCAGCCAAGUCGCGUGAGGGACGACUGCCCUAUGGGUUGUAAACCUCUUUUAUAAGGGAAGAAUAAAUGCUACGUGUAGCAUGAUGCCUGUACUUUAUGAAUAAGCAUCGGCUAACUCCGUGCCAGCAGCCGCGGUAAUACGGAGGAUGCGAGCGUUAUCCGGAUUUAUUGGGUUUAAAGGGUGCGUAGGCGGUUUUUUAAGGUAGUGGUAAAACGUCGGGGCUUACCCUUGAUUUGCCAUUAAUACUGUAAGACUAGAGUGCAGACGAGGUAGGCGGAAUGAGUUGAGUAGCGGUGAAAUGCUUAGAUAUAACUUAGAACUCCGAUAGCGAAGGCAGCUUACCAGACUGCGACUGACGCUGAAGCACGAGAGCGUGGGUAGCGAACAGGAUUAGAUACCCGUGUAGUC
rnacentral:rRNA from 1 species